UACGUAGGGCGCAAGCGUUGUCCGGAAUUAUUGGGCGUAAAGCGCACGUAGGCGGAUUGUUAAGUCAGGGGUGAAAUCCUGGAGCUCAACUCCAGAACUGCCUUUGAUACUGGCGAUCUUGAGUCCGGGAGAGGUGAGUGGAACUGCGAGUGUAGAGGUGAAAUUCGUAGAUAUUCGCAAGAACACCAGUGGCGAAGGCGGCUCACUGGCCCGGUACUGACGCUGAGGUGCGAAAGCGUGGGGAGCAAACAGG
rnacentral:rRNA from 1 species